rnacentral:rRNA from 1 species
CAGUAGCCGCGGGAAAACGAAGGGGGCUAGCGUUGCUCGGAAUUACUGGGCGUAAAGGGCGCGUAGGCGGCCAUUCAAGUUAGAUGUGAAAGCCCAGGGCUCAACCCUGGAAUUGCCUUUAAGACUGCAGAGCUAGCAGGUGAGAGAGGUGAGUGGAAUUCCGAGUGUAGAGGUGAAAUUCGUAGAUAUUCGCAAGAACACCAGUGGCGAAGGCGGCUCACUGGACCGACACUGACGCUGAGGCGCGAAAGCGUGGGGAGCAAACAGGAUUAGAUACCCGCGUAGUCCCUGUCUCUUAUAA